rnacentral:rRNA from 1 species
GUACGCUGGCGGCACGCCUAACACAUGCAAGUCGAACGAAGUAGCAAUACUUAGUGGCAGACGGGUGAGUAACAUGUAGGUAUCUACCCUUUGGCCUGGAAUAACACGAGGAAACUUGUGCUAAUACCAGAUAAGUCUUUACGGAGAAAGCUUUAUGCACCAUUGGAUGAGCCUGCACUUGAUUAGUUAGUUGGUAGGGUAACGGCCUACCAAGACUUUGAUCAAUAGCUGAUUUGAGAGGAUGAUCAGCCACAUUGGGACUGAGACACGGCCCAAACUCCUACGGGAGGCAGCAGUGGGGAAUCUUGCACAAUGGAGGAAACUCUGAUGCAGCGAUGCCGCGUGAGUGAAGAAGGCCUUUGGGUUGUAAAGCUCUUUCGUCGGGGAAGAAAAUGACUGUACCCGAAUAAGAAGGUCCGGCUAA